rnacentral:rRNA from 1 species
UACGUAGGCCCCGAGCGUUGUCCGGAUUUAUUGGGCGUAAAGCGAGCGCAGGUGGUUUAUUAAGUCUGGUGUAAAAGGCAGUGGCUCAACCAUUGUAUGCAUUGGAAACUGGUAGACUUGAGUGCAGGAGAGGAGAGUGGAAUUCCGUGUGUAGCGGUGAAAUGCGUAGAUAUAUGGAGGAACACCGGUGGCGAAAGCGGCUCUCUGGCCUGUAACUGACACUGAGGCUCGAAAGCGUGGGGAGCAAACAGG